AUUGAACGCUGGCGGCAUGCCUUACACAUGCAAGUCGAACGGUAACGGGCCUUCGGGUGCCGACGAGUGGCGAACGGGUGAGUAAUACAUCGGAACGUGCCCGAUCGUGGGGGAUAACGAGGCGAAAGCUUUGCUAAUACCGCAUACGAUCUACGGAUGAAAGCAGGGGACCGCAAGGCCUUGCGCGGACGGAGCGGCCGAUGGCAGAUUAGGUAGUUGGUGGGAUAAAAGCUUACCAAGCCGACGAUCUGUAGCUGGUCUGAGAGGAUGAUCAGCCACACGGGGACUGAGACACGGCCCAGACUCCUACGGGAGGCAGCAGGGGGGAAUUUUGGACAAUGGGCGCAAGCCUGAUCCAGCCAUGCCGCGUGCAGGAUGAAGGCCUUCGGGUUGUAAACUGCUUUUGUACGGAACGAAAAGCCUUCUUUUAAAACAGGGGGGUCAUGACGGUACCGUAAGAAUAAGCCCCGGCUAACUACGU
rnacentral:rRNA from 1 species